rnacentral:rRNA from 1 species
UAAUACGAAGGGUGCAAGCGUUACUCGGAAUUACUGGGCGUAAAGCGUGCGUAGGCGGUUUGUUAAGUCUGACGUGAAAUCCCCGGGCUCAACCUGGGACGUGCGUUGGAAACUGGCGAUCUAGAGUACGGUAGAGGGUGGUGGAACUCCCGGUGUAGCAGUGAAAUGCGUAGAGAUCGGGAGGAACACUCGUGGCGAAGGCGGCCACCUGGACCAGUACUGACGCUGAGGCACGAAAGCGUGGGGAGCAAACAGGAUUAGAUACCCUGGUAGUCCACGCCCUAAACGAUGCGAACUGGAUGUUGGGCUCACUUCGGAGCUCAGUAUCGAAGCUAACGCGUUAAGUUCGCCGCCUGGGGAGUACGGUCGCAAGACUGAAACUCAAAGGAAUUGACGGGGGCCCGCACAAGCGGUGGAGUAUGUGGUUUAAUUCGAUGCAACGCGCAGAACCUUACCUGGCCUUGACAUCCACGGAACUUUCCAGAGAUGGAUUGGUGCCUUCGGAACCGUGAGACAGGUG